GAAAUGCGAAAAGUAAUGUGAAUUGCAGAAUUCAGUGAAUCAUCGAAUCUUUGAACGCACAUUGCGCCCUUUGGUAUUCCGAAGGGCAGGUCUGUUCGAGCGUCGUUUCACCCCUCAAGCACUGCUUGGUCUUGGGCUGCGCCCCCGUGGCGGACCCGAAUUCCAGUGGCGGCCCAGCGAGACUUCAAGCGUAGCAAGAUUAUUCCAUCCCGCUCCCGAAGCCUUCCUGGCGCCGGCCAGACAACCCCUAACUCCAAUGAUUGACCUCGGAUCAGAUCAGAAUACCCGCUGAACUUAA
rnacentral:misc_RNA from 1 species